rnacentral:rRNA from 1 species
CGAACGGGUGAGUAACACGUGGAUAACCUGCCUCAAGGCUGGGGAUAACAUUUGGAAACAGAUGCUAAUACCGAAUAAAACUUAGUAUCGCAUGAUAUCAAGUUAAAAGGCGCUACGGCGUCACCUAGAGAUGGAUCCGCGGUGCAUUAGUUAGUUGGUGGGGUAAAGGCUUACCAAGACAAUGAUGCAUAGCCGAGUUGAGAGACUGAUCGGCCACAUUGGGACUGAGACACGGCCCAAACUCCUACGGGAGGCUGCAGUAGGGAAUCUUCCACAAUGGGCGCAAGCCUGAUGGAGCAACGCCGCGUGUGUGAUGAAGGCUUUCGGGUCGUAAAGCACUGUUGUAUGGGAAGAAAUGCUAAAAUAGGGAAUGAUUUUAGUUUGACGGUACCAUACCAGAAAGGGACGGCUAAAUACGUGCCAGCAGCCGCGGUAAUACGUAUGUCCCGAGCGUUAUCCGGAUUUAUUGGGCGUAAAGCGAGCGCAGACGGUUGAUUAAGUCUGAUGUGAAAGCCCGGAGCUCAACUCCGGAAUGGCAUUGGAAACUGGUUAACUUGAGUGUUGUAGAGGUAAGUGGAACUCCAUGUGUAGCGGUGGAAUGCGUAGAUAUAUGGAAGAACACCAGUGGCGAAGGCGGCUUACUGGACAACAACUGACGUUGAGGCUCGAAAGUGUGGGUAGCAAACAGGAUUAGAUACCCUGGUAGUCCACACCGUAAACGAUGAAUACUAGGUGUUAGGAGGUUUCCGCCUCUUAGUGCCGAAGCUAACGCAUUAAGUAUUCCGCCUGGGGAGUACGACCGCAAGGUUGAAACUCAAAGGAAUUGACGGGGACCCGCACAAGCGGUGGAGCAUGUGGUUUAAUUCGAAGCAACGCGAAGAACCUUACCAGGUCUUGACAUCCUUUGAAGCUUUUAGAGAUAGAAGUGUUCUCUUCGGAGACAAAGUGACAGGUGGUGCAUGGUCGUCGUCAGCUCGUGUCGUGAGAUGUUGGGUUAAGUCCCGCAACGAGCGCAACCCUUAUUGUUAGUUGCCAGCAUUCAGUUGGGCACUCUAGCGAGACUGCCGGUGACAAACCGGAGGAAGGCGGGGACGACGUCAGAUCAUCAUGCCCCUUAUGACCUGGGCUACACACGUGCUACAAUGGCGUAUACAACGAGUUGCCAACCUGCGAAGGUGAGCUAAUCUCUUAAAGUACGUCUCAGUUCGGACUGCAGUCUGCAACUCGACUGCACGAAGUCGGAAUCGCUAGUAAUCGCGGAUCAGCACGCCGCGGUGAAUACGUUCCCGGGUCUUGUACACACCGCCCGUCACACCAUGGGAGUUUGUAAUGCCCAAAGCCGGUGGCCUAACCUUCGGGAGGGAGCCGUCUAAGCAGAUC